CCCAAGGGUAAAGAAUAUUUUCUAUUUAAAGCACUAUUUUUUAUGACAAAGAAUGUAUUACAGACUGUGGUUAGCCUCUGUUCCAAAUAAAUGUAAACUGCCUAAUUGCCAAAACAAAAAAGGUCUCGCUUUUUUCUUUUAACUCUAUCUAUAAAGGUAAGCAUUGCAUUUAGCUUCAGUUCAAACAGGUAAGCAUGAAUCAUUUUUUCCAAUAGCAAAUUUAGCUUUACAAAUAUCUAUGUAUAUUUAGCAUCAGCAAAAAAGGCAUUCAUUUCAGAAGAAUUAAAAAUAGAUCCUUUCUCCUGUUAAUUUAGAAAACCCUGAUUCAGAUAAUUUUUACUUUUCUGAUUCUCAUCAUUAUAUUAUCAAGUGAGAAAAUAGAGUACUGUGUAAUACACAUGUGCGCUCCUCU
rnacentral:lncRNA from 1 species